rnacentral:lncRNA from 1 species
UGAUUCUGGCUCUGGUAAUGGCAGAGAGCAGUCCUUAGAGAGAGGGCCAUGCUCACCGUCAUGACCAGCCAUCGCCUUCAGGACGUCUCCUGGGCCCCUCUCCCCCUGAGCACCUAGUGUGGGGCCUUGCUUGGAGCACCUCAGCUCAGGGGAGGGAGAGGGUGACCCUCUGCCCGAGAUCUGGAAUCAUUUGAGUGCUCUUGGAGCUGCUUCCAAAUCUAGCCCCCCAGGACUUCUGCUUCAUGGUCACUCAAGUGAGGGAGAGUGGGCUUAAAGCUCUUUUAGUGGUCAGCUUCUGUCUCUGCUGACUUCGUGGGGUGGGGAGGAGACAGUUCAAAAGUCACUGUGUUUGGCUUUGAAAUGUAUUCUUAUUCCUCCUCCCCCCACAUAUUUACGAUGCAAAUGAAUUAAUACAAGUUAAGGGCCUAGAACAGCCUGGAUCAUGGUGAAAACAGCCUGGCAGGCUUUCCAGCUUGAGGUGGGCACGUUCCGGACCCAACCCGCUGUGUCUGCGGGCUGCCCCAGCACAGCCUGCCCCAGGAGCAGCACGCCUGACCCAGGGACGGCUGAGAGGCCAGUGGCGACAAGAAGCAGGAGCCCGGAGGGUUUCUCAGUGUUGUGCUAAAAUGAGCAACCUGCAAAUCAGAUGCAAAAUACCAUGCAAGUAUGGCAUAUAUUAAUUCGGAACCAACAGCUUUGGGCAUUUUAGGCAAUUAGGUGCCAGCCCUGUAUAUGAUCAUGUUUACUUCCCCAAUUUUCCUUUUCCGAUAUUCCAAGCAACACUGGAAGGGCACUUCUGUAAGACCUUGAGAGGGUCCUACCCCCUCUCUCUCGAAUGCCUAGGCACAGGGAUACGUUAGACGUGGCUGCUAUCUGUGUAAAUAUAAGACGCCAUCUCCUCCCCAUGCUCACUGGCAAGCCUCUAUGGAGCACCUCCUUGAUGCAAACCACGAGAGAAGAGCAGGAAGUGUCCUCAAUGAGUUGAGCUUGGUACAAUAAACAACUCCUGGGUGCCUGUUACUAAGUGUAUAUUAAGUGCCACUUACUAGCUGUGCAACCUGGGGCAAGUUCGUUUCCUCCCUUGAAAUGGGGUAACGCCAACGUGCUGCGGUGCAUGAGUAGUUAAACUGCAGGACAUUCCUAUCACAGGAUACUGCUCAGCAACAGAGAGGAGCAAACUAC